rnacentral:rRNA from 1 species
CGCGGGGCUGACUUACCUGCAAGUCGAACGGCAGCGGGGGUAGCUUGCUACCUGCCGGCGAGUGGCGAACGGGUGAGUAAUACAUCGGAACGUGCCCUGUAGUGGGGGAUAACUAGUCGAAAGACUAGCUAAUACCGCAUACGACCUGAGGGUGAAAGUGGGGGACCGCAAGGCCUCAUGCUAUAGGAGCGGCCGAUGUCUGAUUAGCUAGUUGGUGGGGUAAAGGCCCACCAAGGCGACGAUCAGUAGCUGGUCUGAGAGGACGAUCAGCCACACUGGGACUGAGACACGGCCCAGACUCCUACGGGAGGCAGCAGUGGGGAAUUUUGGACAAUGGGGGCAACCCUGAUCCAGCAAUGCCGCGUGUGUGAAGAAGGCCUUCGGGUUGUAAAGCACUUUUGUCCGGAAAGAAAUCGCACUGGUUAAUACCUGGUGUGGAUGACGGUACCGGAAGAAUAAGGACCGGCUAACUACGUGCCAGCAGCCGCGGUAAUACGUAGGGUCCAAGCGUUAAUCGGAAUUACUGGGCGUAAAGCGUGCGCAGGCGGUUGUGCAAGACCGAUGUGAAAUCCCCGGGCUUAACCUGGGAAUUGCAUUGGUGACUGCACGGCUAGAGUGUGUCAGACGGAGGUAUAAUUCCACUUGUAGCACUGAAAUGCGUACAGAUGGGGCUGAAUACCGAUGGCGAAGGCUUCCUCCUGGGACAACUCUGUACACUCAUCCUCGAAAGGCC